rnacentral:SRP_RNA from 1 species
GCCGGGGGCGCAGUGGCCCUUGCCUGUAGUCCCAGCUACUCGGGAGGCUGAGGCUGGAGGAUCGCUUGAGCCCAGGAGUUCUAGGCUGCAGUGCGCUAUGCCGAUCAGGUGUCCGCACUGAGUUCGGCAUCAAUAUGGUGACCUAUUGGGAGCGGGGGACCACCAGGUUGCAUAAGGAGGGGUAAACCAGCCCAGGUAGGAAACGGAGCAGGUCGAUACUCCCAAGCUGAUCAGUAGUGGGAUCGCACCUGUGAAUAGCCACUGCACUCCAGCCUGGGCAACAUCACGAGACCCUGUCUCU